rnacentral:lncRNA from 1 species
UGCGUAUAGCUAAAAGUAAUAAAUUUGUAUGUUGGAUUCAUGUACGUGCGGUUAUCAUGUUACCUGAGCAGAACAACUAUUUCCAUAACUAUAUUCCUAAACAAAAUAACAAAAUAACAAAAUUUAUUCCAUCAGGAACUAUGAAUGCAUGUAUCCAAUUUAACUUUGAAUAUACGAUGAGCAAGUCCUUCAACCUGAAAAAGACUAUGAAAAUUAAGUUAGCAUCAGAAAUAAUACAUGGAGGUGGUAGGUAAGGAGUUGAUGGUGAGAUUCAUAUCAAGAAUGGUAUUAUAAAGCACAUCGUGUGUCUCCUCAGAUGCACAUUAAUUUAUGAGUUUGUAAGUUCUAAUGGAUAUUUCAAGCUGCACGACUCACCUCACAUGUUACAACAGAAAAAGAGAUAAACCGGUUCAGUUUCGCUUUCGCCUGGCUGCCAGGAGGGACUGAGCGCAUAAUUGCUGGAUUAAUUUAUCUAUUUGUUUAGACUUCUCUUACAACUGCUCCAAGUAGUGCAGAUGUUGUAUAUCACGUUAUGUGCGACAAAUAGAGAAUAACCCUAGAUUAGCACCGGAUUAGAACAAAUCAGGCCUAGUACAAAUAGAGAAAGACCGGGGGGCGUAGAUCAGGACUGGAUUAGAACGACACGGACCUAGCCGAGGCAUGCUCGGAGGGAGGAGGCGAGGGAGUCGACUUACUUGUCUUCCUCAUUUCCACUAAAUUUGAGAUGGCCUGGCACUAAAUUUGUUACGGAAACAACAUGUGUCAACUAUUCCUUUGAACAGGGCCACCUUUUCUUCUCAACUACAUCAACUUUUUAACAGAUUUUGUUUUACUUUCUUUUUCUAGGAACCUUAACAGAACAUAUUAUUUUGUGGGUUCUUUUUUCUUACUUAUUUUCUUUAGGUUAGAUGCUGAACUACAAGAUGAUGUUGUUGAUGUUGUUUAUUAGAUUGUUGUGUUAGUGCUGAUGUUGGUUGUGCCGGUGCUUUUCAUGUGCAGGGAUCUUCUCUUCGUCUCGAGGAG